AGUGAACGCUGGCGGUAGGCCUAACACAUGCAAGUCGAACGGCAGCACAGUAAGAGCUUGCUCUUACGGGUGGCGAGUGGCGGACGGGUGAGGAAUACAUCGGAAUCUACUUUUUCGUGGGGGAUAACGUAGGGAAACUUACGCUAAUACCGCAUACGACCUACGGGUGAAAGCAGGGGAUCUUCGGACCUUGCGCGAUUGAAUGAGCCGCUGUCGGAUUAGCUAGUUGGCGGGGUAAAGGCCCACCACGGCGACGAUCCGUAGCUGGUCUGAGAGGAUGAUCAGCCGCACUGGAACUGAGACACGGUCCAGACUCCGACGGGAGGCAGCAGUGGGGAAUAUUGGGCAGUGGGCGCAAGCCUGAUCCAGCCAUACCGCGUGGGUGAAGAAGGCCUGCGGGUUGUAAAGCCCUUUUGUUGGGAAGGAAAAGCAGCAGGUUAAGACCCCGCUGUUCGGACGGUACCCAAAGAAUAAGCACCGGCUAACUUCGU
rnacentral:rRNA from 1 species